GGUGUUACGAGAGCUCGUACCGGAGGCGGGCACGCCCACCGCUUGCGGCCCGAGAGAUAAGAACCACAGCCAUCGCCCGUCUCCCAUCUCCAAGAUGGCGGAGGCAGCUUCAACCUCACCUCUCGCGAGGAGUUUGUCCCACUGUCUCUGAUUAGCCCUGAGGUCAGAGUUCAGCUAUAAAACCAGGACUUCCCAUUACUCAGAUGUUUUCCAAACAUCAGAUGUUUUCAGACAAAGGAGUGACAAAGAGCUGCAGGUGGUAGGAAAGCAGGACUUCAUUCUGCACACUGGAAGACUUCCUAUGGAGCUGCUAUCUUUCUCGUGUUCCUAACUCAUUAUUAGAAAGAUGGAUUUGAUUUUUCUGCCUGAAGCUGUUCAUGAGCAACAAAACAACUAAACACAGUCUAAAGGAAGAGGUGAUAGACCUCAAAAU